rnacentral:rRNA from 1 species
UACGUAGGGGGCAAGCGUUGUCCGGAUUUAUUGGACGUAAAGAGCGUGUAGGCGGCUAGGUAGGUCCGUUGUGAAAACUCGAGGCUCAACCUCGAGACGCCGAUGGAAACCAUCUGGCUAGAGUCCGGAAGAGGAGAGUGGAAUUCCUGGUGUAGCGGUGAAAUGCGCAGAUAUCAGGAAGAACACCCGUGGCUAAGGCGGCUCUCUAGUACGGUACUGACGCUGAGACGCGAAAGCGUGGGGAGCGAACAGG